UGGAAACUACAGCUCCCAGACUUCCCUUCACCUGGGCGCGCUGGCGCGCCCAGGUGAAGACCAUCACUCCCAGAUAACCUUGCGCCCGCAGUUAAAAGCGAGCGCUCCACGAGGUUUCUCUCUCUUGCCCCUUUUUCCUCGUGUGUCUGCACGUCCCGCCCUUAUCGUGUUUCCCUCUCCCCAUUAAACGCACCCACGUGGGA